rfam:Burkholderia glathei strain DSM 50014 contig115, whole genome shotgun sequence.
AAGAAAGUGACUGCCGCCCCGCACAGGGGCGAAGCUAAUAAACCGAUAGCAAAACAAGUUUCAUAGGAGCGCAAGCGCAUCAAACGGUUCAAUAAACCCCAACCCCGAGCGCCAG